rnacentral:rRNA from 1 species
AAACCAGCACCUCAAGUGGUCAGGAUGAUUAUUGGGCCUAAAGCAUCCGUAGCCUGCUUUGUAAGUUUUCGGUUAAAUCCAUACGCUCAACGUAUGGGCCGCCGGAAAUACUGCAAAGCUAGGGAGUGGGAGAGGUAGACGGUACUCGGGAGGAAGGGGUAAAAUCCUUUGAUCUCUCGAUGACCACCUGUGGCGAAGGCGGUCUACCAGAACACGUCCGACGGUGAGGGAUGAAAGCUGGGGGAGCAAACCGGAUUAGAAACCCGGGUAGUCC